rnacentral:rRNA from 1 species
UACGGAGGGUGCAAGCGUUGUCCGGAAUCACUGGGCGUAAAGGGCGCGUAGGCGGCCCUCCUUGUCGCGUGUGAAAGCCCCGGGCUCAACCUGGGAACGGCGCGCGAGACGGGGGGGCUGGAGUUCGGGAGAGGAGCGUGGAAUUCCCAGUGUAGAGGUGAAAUUCGUAGAUAUUGGGAAGAACACCGGUGGCGAAGGCGGCGCUCUGGACCGAGACUGACGCUGAGGCGCGAAAGCGUGGGGAGCAAACAGG